rnacentral:rRNA from 1 species
UACGUAGGGACCGAGCGUUGUCCGGAAUCAUUGGGCGUAAAGAGCGUGUAGGCGGCCAACUAAGUCCUGCGUGAAAUCUCGGGGCUCAACCCCGAGCGGUCGUGGGAAACUGGUUGGCUAGAGUGCGGGAGAGGAGAGUGGAAUUCCUGGUGUAGCGGUGAAAUGCGCAGAUAUCAGGAAGAACACCCGUGGCGAAGGCGGCUCUCUGGAACGCAACUGACGCUGAGGUGCGAAAGCGUGGGGAGCAAACAGG